GGUUGCGAUCAUACCAACACUAAUGCACCGGAUUCCAUCAGAAAUCCGCAGUUAAGCGUGCUUGGGCGAGAGUAGUACUAUGAUUGGUGACCCCCUGGGAAGUCCUCGUGUUGCAACCCC
rnacentral:rRNA from 1 species